GGGAGAUUAGCUCAGCUGGUUCAGAGCAUCUGCCUUACAAGCAGAGGGUCGGCGGUUCGAACCCGUCAUCUCCCA
rnacentral:tRNA from 2 species